rnacentral:rRNA from 1 species
CUGCUCUCCGCCAGAGAACUACAAGUGAAAAACUUCAAACUCAAAGGACUUGGCGGUGUCCCAUAUCGACCUAGAGGAGCCUGUCCUAUAAUCGAUACUCCCCGCUCUACCUAACCUCAACUAGCAUUCCACAGCCUAUAUACCGCCGUCGACAGUCUACCCCAUGAGGGCCCAACAGUAGACACAAUAGCCCAACCGCUAACACGUCAGGUCAAGGUGUAGCACAUGCUGAGGAAGAGAUUGGCUACAUUUUUUACAUUAAAAAACACGAAAUGCAACAUGAAACCCUGCAUGAAGGUGAAUUUAGUAGUAAGAUCUAAUGAGAGUAUUUAUCUUAACAACGCUCUGGGACGCGCACACACCGCCCGUCA